CUGAGGGUGAGACAUUAGAGAAGGUUUUGACUUUGUUAGAGAAGGCUCUGGUCAGCAAUACUCAGUCUGUGAACAGAGGGCCCCGUAAACAGUUCCACAAACGUCAGCGUGAGUGCGCCGUCUGUGGAAGCACUAAUCACUGGACCAAAGCUCACUGUCAGAUGCACCAGCUGUGCUUCAAGUGCUUCUCUCCGGGCCACAUUAGCUUUGACUGUAGUGAGGCUGGGCAGCGACAGAGCCCUGGAUGUGGACAGACUGGCAGGUCUCAGGAAAACUAGAAUGCCUCCAUUCUGAGGAGGGCAAUGUGGGGCAGUCUUAUUUUUCCUCCACUGAUGAUGAUAUCCAAUCUGUUUAUUCUUACUUUUGUGAGUCAGUACCCAAGAGCAACACAGUCAUUUUUCAGAACACAAUGAGAAUUACGCAGAAUGACAGUUUGUUUUACACCUCCGUGCUAGUACAGGAUAAAGCUGAGCUGAAGGGGAUGUUAGAUAGUGGGUCCAUGGCUACUACUCUGCGCGCAGAUAUUGUACCUCGGUUGAGGGAGGCAGGAGUGGUAGAGGGGAACUUUCUAGCUCCUUCAGAUAUUAUCCUGGUGGGUUGUGGUGGGAAGCAAACUAGCCCAGUGGGCAUGUGUGAUUUAAAAAUUCAGCUUUAUGGUUUCAGCUAUGUAGUCCCAGUGCUUAUUGUAGAUGGGCAGGUUGAUGAACUCAUUGUGGGCACUAAUGUGUUGAAGUCUUUGAUUAGACAGUUCAAAUCAAAUGACAGCUACUGGCGGGUGGUGGGUACACCAGGUUCCUCUAGCCAGUGCGAUGACAGCCACUUCCUGCGUCUCCUGUCAAAUCUGGAGAGAUGGAGAGGAGACUCUAUCCCAGAUAAAGUAGGCACCAUUAAGUUGAAGAGAGCAGUAACACUCCAACCCAUGAGUGAGCAUCUGGUGUGGGGCCGCCUACCCCCAAAGACAAAACUCUCUGUGGGCAGUACUGUUGUUGUCGAGCCCAGCACGUCUCGUUGUGUGAAUCGACACAUACUAGUGGGGAGAGUAGUUACGCCUCUGUGGGGGGAUGGAUGGCUACCUGUGAAGAUAGUGAAUCCAACAACAUCACCAGUUACCCUGAGACGAAAUGCUAAAGUGGCGGAUGUGUAUCCUUGCAUUGCAUUAGAGGAUUUUGAUGAUGUCAAGCAGCAAGCAGCUUACCAGAACGUGGCUAAAGUUCAAUGUGACAGCUCACAUGGCAGUCUGACAGCUAAGAGUUCAGUUGGUGGCAGUGUAGUUCAUGGCAACAGUACACUGAGCAAUCUUGGACUUCAAGGCCUGUCUGUUGAGG
rnacentral:lncRNA from 1 species